AAAACUAAAAAGGUAAAUCAUUCAUGAUUCAUUUAAACCCUUUCCUGUUGUGCUGCUAUUCACCUCUUGGAAGCGCUAGGCUCACUGGCUGCACUGUCCCGCGUUGAAGACGACAACAACAACGCUGACAACGUGCGCAUACCGUCCUCGUGGAGAGGAGGGGUCUGGUGUGAGGGGAUGGUGGCAGCCCCAGCAACCUCCCCGGUGACAUCAUCAUCGCCCGGCACGGAGCUCUUUGGGAGCAGGUCAGGCCGACCAGAACACUGAGCCACUGAACAGAAUGCAUUCCGCAUAAGGAACCUAGUAUGCUUCAGUAAAUCAAAACAGCUCCCCUCCCUUGUGAUUAGGAAGCAUGUGUUCCUCAAACCCCCGUGUUUUCCAGUACUCACCGCCCUCUACUUCGGCCUCCGAUUCCCCCACACUGCUGCCGGAAUGUUGGCCAGCGGCCAGCUGGUGGCGCUCUCCGUGGCUGCUACUGCUAGCCGCCUGGACGGGAGCUAACGAGCUAUCCGCCUGGACAUGGGCUACGCUAGCCGCCGGGACAGGGGCUAACGAGCUAGCAGCCUGGACAUGGGCUAAGCUAGCCGCCUGGAAGGGAGCUAACGAGCUAGCCGCCUGGACAGGGGCUAACGAGCUAGCCGCCUGGACGUGAGCGAACGAGCUAGCCACCUGGACGUGAGCUAGCAAGUUAGGCGCCUGCGCAGGAGAUGGUGGUUCCGACAACGCGCCCAUUCCCUUCCGCAGGAUGCCCGCGCGGCUCUUCUUAUAGGGAGAGGCCUUUGCUGUUUAAAAAAUACAUGGAGAUGUAUUUGCAUUAAAGUGCUUGAGUUUCAGGCAUCUUCACGGUGAAAACAAGUGAUAAACAGUGCAAUACAAUACAGUGAAUGUAAACAGAAAUAUAAAUAUAAAUGGGAGUAAAGUAUUAUUAAGACACAUGGUGGCGGCUAGCAGAUGGUGAGGUGUCUUACCCCGUCAUGGACCAGAGCUUUCCAGGAGUGUUCUAUCUUCUUGACAAGUCUAAAAUACACAACACACAGGGCUCUCUGAAUGACGUCUUCAAUCGUCCACCCUCGGGGUACAGCCCUAGAUGACAUCAUCCCUCUUGAAACAAACCAACCAAAAGCCCUUACUGGUCCUCGGUGUCCUGGGACGACGUGCCCCCGGCAUCCCCUUGGAUGGACUCGAUGGCGGUGUUGUACAGGGACUUCUGCCCCAGGGGCCGCCGCUGGUCCGAGGCCCCGGACGCCGCCCCCAACUCGGCCACCUGGCUGCCCCGCUCGCGGCAGGCCUGCUCCACGUUGUGCACUCCCACCAGGAGGCUGUAGUCCAUGAUCUUGAAGCUCUGCAACAGCUGACGGAAAGAGGAUCAGGUCGUCACGUUACUUUCAGAAGGCUGAUCCUCUUUAUCGUUUCCUCUUCUGUAGCGGUCACCCUCCGAUGUCACCUCUGCCGAUCUCCGGUCUUCCCAUCACUAUGAGCUAAACGCCGCGUCCUACUAAAGCAUGGAGAUCUGUCGCACCCCCAUCGCACAUACAACGAUUCGGUGAGGUAAUGGCUCAUUGAAAGCUGAAGAAUUCCAUUCAGGGAUCUGUUUCUAAAAGGUUAUCAAGUCUAGCAACCAUUCAUUGUCUAUUUUAAGUCAUUCUAAAUAAAGUAAAGCCAAGUUAUCCAACUUUACUUUGAUUUUGUGUGCAUAAAGUGUUUUAUGGCAACCUUAUAA